rnacentral:rRNA from 1 species
CGUAGGUAACCUGCCCCUUAGCGGGGGAUAACUAUUGGAAACGAUAGCUAAUACCGCAUAAAAGUCGAUAUCGCAUGAUGUUGACUUGAAAGGUGCAAUUGCAUCACUAAGAGAUGGACCUGCGUUGUAUUAGCUAGUUGGUGAGGUAACGGCUCACCAAGGCGACGAUACAUAGCCGACCUGAGAGGGUGAUCGGCCACACUGGGACUGAGACACGGCCCAG